rnacentral:rRNA from 1 species
GUAGUCGAUGGACAACGGGUUGAUAUUCCCGUACCGGCUGCAUCGCGCCAAUGCCGAACCCGGUAAUGCUAAGCGCCCGAAUCUGUGGAUCUCUUCGGAGUGAGACAGAGGAGCGCGCGAACCGAACCGGUAGUAGGCAAGCGAUGGGGUGACGCAGGAAGGUAGCUCAGCCGCGGCGAUGGUAGUCCGCGGGUAAGGCUGUAGGGACAGGUGUAGGCAAAUCCGCACCUGAUAUUCCUGAGAGCUGAUGCCGAGCCGAUUGAGGUGAAGUGAGUGAUCCUAUGCUGCCGAGAAAAGCCUCUAGCGAGUGAUGUAGCCGCCCGUACCCCAAACCGACACAGGUGGUCAGGUAGAGAAUACCGAGGCGAUCGAGCGAACCGUGGUUAAGGAACUCGGCAAAUUGCCCCCGUAACUUCGGGAGAAGGGGGGCCGCGGCUGGUGAGAGGACUUGCUCCUCGAGCUGGCUACGGCCGCAGAGACCAGGUGGAAGCGACUGUUUACUAAAAACACAGGUCCAUGCAAAGUCGCAAGACGACGUAUAUGGACUGACGCCUGCCCGGUGCUGGAACGUUAAGGGGACCGGUUAGCACUUCGGUGCGAAGCUGAGAACUUAAGCGCCAGUAAACGGCGGUGGUAACUAUAACCAUCCUAAGGUAGCGAAAUUCCUUGUCGGGUAAGUUCCGACCUGCACGAAUGGCGUAACGACUUCCACGCUGUCUCAACCACGGACUCGGCGAAAUUGCACUACGAGUAAAGAUGCUCGUUACGCGCGGCAGGACGGAAAGACCCCGGGACCUUUACUAUAGCUUGGUAUUGGUGGUCGAUUCGGUUUGUGUAGGAUAGGUGGGAGACUGUGAAAUCCGGACGCCAGUUCGGGUGGAGUCGUCCUUGAAAUACCACUCUGAUCGUAUUGGCUGUCUAACCUCGGUCCGUGAUCCGGAUCAGGGACAGUGCCUGGUGGGUAGUUUAACUGGGGCGGUUGCCUCCCAAAAAGUAACGGAGGCGCUCAAAGGUUCCCUCAGCCUGGUUGGCAAUCAGGUAUCGAGUGCAAGUGCACAAGGGAGCUUGACUGUGAGACCGACGGGUCGAGCAGGGACGAAAGUCGGAACUAGUGAUCCGGCACCGGCAUGUGGAAGCGGUGUCGCUCAACGGAUAAAAGGUACCCCGGGGAUAACAGGCUGAUCUUGCCCAAGAGUUCAUAUCGACGGCAUGGUUUGGCACCUCGAUGUCGGCUCGUCGCAUCCUGGGGCUGGAGUCGGUCCCAAGGGUUGGGCUGUUCGCCCAUUAAAGCGGCACGCGAGCUGGGUUUAGAACGUCGUGAGACAGUUCGGUCCCUAUCCGCCGCGCGCGCAGGAGUCUUGAGGAGGGCUGUCCCUAGUACGAGAGGACCGGGACGGACGAACCUCUGGUGUGCCAGUUGUCCUGCCAAGGGCACGGCUGGUUGGCUACGUUCGGAAGGGAUAACCGCUGAAAGCAUCUAAGCGGGAAGCUCGCUCCAAGAUGAGGACUCCCACAGGGUUAACCUGGUAAGGCCCCCAGCGAGAACACUGGGUUGAUAGGCCGGAAGUGGAAGCGCAGCAAUGCGUGUAGCUGACCGGUACUAAUAGGCCGAGGGCUUGCCCA